rnacentral:lncRNA from 13 species
GAAAAAUCCAGAAAUAUGUAAAAAAUGAGUUGAAAAUUGCGGAUUGCAGGAGAGAGAUGAUGUAUCCCAUUUGUUUCUUUGCUCAUUUCAUUUUAAAGUACCUCGGAAUUUAAUUGUACAAGAAAAAUGGAAACUAUCUCUUGGUAUUAUACCCAACUUGGAUAUUACUGAUGUCUCAACAACAAAUAUAACAACUUUACCAGAAAUAUCUUUAAAAUCAUCCACCAAUAUUAUUAUCAAAUGUGCUAAAAGAUAGUACUAAUAUACCAAAAUCAAUUGAAACAUCUUUAAAUAUAUCUGAUGAUAUAAAUUGUGAUUGUGAUGUUCCAUCAACAUCAAAGGUUUCUUAUUCAAAUUCUGAAGAGGACUGCUAUUCUCCUCCAAAGAAACGCUUUUUUGCAGAACUUAGAUAUAUAUCAGAAAUCAAUAGCUUUGAUGUUAGUAUACCGAGAAAAGCAAGGAGAGUAAUUAAAUUUAUGAAAA